GCGGAGCUGGAGUCCUGGUAAUGACUCGGUGCCAACGAGGGCCACCAUCACCUGAGCGGACAGGAAGAAGAGUGUAAAAAUAGCAGUCCUACCAUUAAGAGGCACUUCUUUCAGUUUCCUCCUUAACUUAGCUUUUCCUUCUUGUUUCUGUGUCUUAGAUCCAGGGCAGGUAGAUCCAGCUCAGGGUGUUUCUGUGAGAUGAUCUACACCCAGAUUCCCAGAAAAUACAGAUACCUGUUUUUUCAUGUUUAAAAUCUGAUCCUUGCAGCUUGAACGCCACACCCACAAAUAGAAAUAAUAAUAAUAAUAAAAACCUUUACUUGAGUAUUCAAUGGACAGAGAAACAGCAAUCUACAAAUGAAAUUUGAUGUUUUUAUUUCAUACUUCACUUUUUAGGGUAAUUAGAUGCGUGUUUGUGAUCCAUCGCUUCCCCUGGGGCAAAAUAAGAGGUGACACGUUCUCUUCAAAAGGGGAAAGAUGAGUGGAUGUGUCAUGGAAAACUGGAGCAGAGCGGCAUCUUGGGGCUCCAAGACAAUCAUUAGGUGACAUCUACAUACGAACCAGCUGUUUGGUUGUGAAGCCAAAGGGAAUAAGUGUCUGUUCUUGACGUUAAGAGAUGCGAGGGAAAAAAAGUAAUGCAGCCUCAUGUUGGUAGAGAGUGGCAUCAUUCAGUGAUGAAAGUGAAAACCAUAUUGACCUUACAUAACACAGGGUAGAACAGAAUAUAUAAAAAAGAACAGGAUUAAGAACAGUAAUUAUGGUACUGUGCACAUUAAGGACAAUAUCAUGAUAUAAAAAUAGUGUGCGGUUAUCAGAAAUGUUCUCUCAUCCAAGGGAUCUGCAACUGGGUAGGAUAAUUUUUAUCUUUUUGGUUUUUUUUAAAUGUACAUAAUCUGAAUUUGCAUUUGUCCAUCAAAAGUCUAACAGACAAUUUACAAUAUAUGAGAAACAACAACUGUACAGAAAAUCAGGAGCAGCGAUGGUUACCCGCUGCUGGGAGGAAGGAUCUGCGGCAACGCUCCUUUGUGCUUUUAGGAUGCAGCAGUCGGUCACUGAAGGAGCUCUUUAGCAAGGAUUAUUUUACCCAGAAUCCUUCUGUAUCCCACCAGCCGUUCUAGAAAAGAUGACAAGAUUAUGUCCACAUUGUUUUAGCUAAAACAUAAAAGAUUUCUAAGAUUAAACUCGUUUAUAAGGAAGAAUGUAAAUCAGCCUUUCACCCUGAGGAAACUCUCCAGCUUUUAUAAGACUCACAUUAAUCUGCUUAUUAAAAAUCACACCAUGUUUGAUUAUUUCCCCCAGGUUGAAGUUUGAUUUUUUAUAUUUAACUUAAUUUGCACCUGGACUUCAGGUCACAUAUAUUUAAAACUUCAGCAGCUUUAAAAGAUCUAAAGACAUUCCCAGAGUUUCUCUAUCGGAGACCAAAUAAACAAAACAGGUUGCAGUUCCAUAAAACAAGCAGCAGGGGGCGGUCUUCUCCACCGGUAGACCCGCACCAUGUGGCAGCUAAUGUUACAGGAAGUCGUGGUCAGGACAUCUUAUGAGCUGGGGACCGGACUAAAAAGAUCCGAAGUGCAGCUUUAGCGGCACUCAAUAUGGUCAGCAAGGCUUUCUACCCAGGGCAGCACAGACUGUGGGGCACCACAAAAUGAAAGACAUAAGACAGCAGGAUUAACUUUUCUGGGGAAGCGAGGGAAUGUCUGUCGGCGUUCGGGACAGCAGAAGGGAGGCUCCAUUUGGCAAUGACCGUUGUAUUUGUCCGUCUGUAAGUUGGGACGGCUGGUCAGCUCCAGUACAAACCAGUGUCCUGUCCAGACCCCUUCAUCAUACGCUCAAUUUCACCAAAGCGGUCAGACUGACCUGGACUAAACAAACUGGAAGAAUAGCGACACAGAUCCGCCUAAUGGUCGCCGUUUAACUCCAUUCAUCGUCUCUCCAUUAUAUCCGUUCCCUCUUUGAGGAUAGGAUUAUACGCGGCCUCAGUCACAAAGGUCAGAGGGCCGAGCAGACACUCCCACACCUCCGUGACCCGCUCUGAUCCCACGACCUCGGCACCAGCGGGCCCCUGCUCCCGGACCCAGCUCUCCCUCCCCGCCAGUUGACCGGCUUUGUCCUGUUUGUCCCGACCCGUUUUCUGCCGUAUCACUCACGCACAUCACAGCAAGCUGAACAAUCAGGGGAUGGAAACUUGAUUACUGAGUGGCAACACCGCAAUCCACACAACACACAAACAACAGCAAGAAAAAAUGAAUUUUUAAUGCAAUUAUUCUGUUUUAUGAUCUUUUACUCCAUUUAACUGGACUGAAUUCGAUCAUUUCCCAUAUCUUGAUAAUUUCCUGCAUUGCUUCUUCGCUUUUGUGUUGGAUCUUAUUUCUGUCUCAGUAUGUGUAUUAAACAUUUAUUCACUCACUUAGCAAACAAACAAAGUAGUCAAGCUUUUUAAUUUGGUAGACUGGAAAAUCAUCUCCAAUAGAUAAAGGAACAUUUCGUGUACAUUUUCAUAAUAUUCCUGUAGAGCUCUGUGUUUACAGAAAAUACUCAUUAAACCUUCUCUAGCAAAUAAUAAUACUCUUCAUUAAGCCCUUUGGAGCCUCGUAUCGCCCUGUCAGCAGUUGCUACAAACAUCUAAAUGAACAAAAUAAAAAAGACCAAAAUACAUACAGAUGUACUAAUGAAAGAACUAAGUAUUUUUAGCCAGUGAGUAAAAAUAACCCAUUGUGGUUUCCUAUCAGACAUGCACUCACGCUGCUGGAGGGAUUCCUGAAGAGCAACUGCUGCAUCAUGUAAUAUAUAUUUGGUAUGUGUAUAUAUAUAUUGAUCUAUAUUUUCAUUUUCCAAUACUUAUUAGUUUCCAUAAAGGUCAAUAAGGACCAGACCAAAAUUCAACUGAGAAUUGAUUUUCAGAGUCUUCAUCCAACAUGAGCCAGUGUAUAACUUUUAUUUUAAAAAUUUGAGUUUCUUUGCAUAUUUGUUAAAAUUAUUA